rnacentral:sRNA from 1 species
UGGAAGUGGGUCAAUUGCUGGGUAGAUUGCAAUGGUGUAGGAAAUAAACGAAAAUUUCA